ACGUAGGGUGCAAGCGUUAAUCGGAAUUACUGGGCGUAAAGCGUGCGCAGGCGGCUUUGCAAGACAGAUGUGAAAUCCCCGGGCUUAACCUGGGAACUGCAUUUGUGACUGCAUGGCUGGAGUGCGGCAGAGGGGGAUGGAAUUCCGCGUGUAGCAGUGAAAUGCGUAGAUAUCGGGAGGAAUACCGAUGGCGAAGGCAGGUCUCUGGGCUGAUACUGACGCUCAUGCACGAAAGCGUGGGGAGCAAACAGGA
rnacentral:rRNA from 1 species